rnacentral:lncRNA from 7 species
CUUGUUCAGGUGCUGGUUGCAUGGAAGGCAGGUGCCUUUUAUCCAAAGACAAGGAGUGUUCUCCAUAGGAAGUGUUUAUGUUCAUACUGCAACGCCAAAUUCAGAAAAUAGAUUACCUCUCAGGAAACCAUCUGUUCCAGCAUCCCGUGAACUUUCAGACGGAUGCUCCUUGGAGCUUUGCAGUGUCAGCUUAUGCCAGGUUUGGCGUGAUCCAGCAGGCUGCAUCCAGGGUGUGCUCAAAUGUCCCAGUUGAAAAACUCCAGCUGUGAAUUUGCCUCCACCUCACAGACACAGGCAGACUACCGGGCGCUUGAAUGGUUUAUUUUAAAUCAAAAUAUCAGUUACUCGCCCUGCACUUGUGUCUAAGCGUUGGUCACGUUGUAAACAGCGGGAACUGAUCCUGGAUACACCCAGACUAGCAAUAUGGCAUACUUCAGCAAUGCAGGAAAAUAAGCUUUCAGCAGCUGACCUGCAGAUGUGAUGAAGACUCUGUCGCCUGGGAUCUUUAAAUCAAGACUUAACAUCUUCUAGAGGGUGUGCUACAGCACAGAGAGGACUUGCAGGCAUGCCUGCAGUGUAGGUAUUGCUGGAAGAGGUUCUGCGAUCUCGUUAACAAAUGCUGUAUAAAUAAAUUAGCACAGUCAUUGCU